GCCGAUGUAGCUCAGUGGUAGAGCAACGCAUUCGUAAUGCGUAGGUCAGCGGUUCGACCCCGCUCAUCGGCUCCC
rnacentral:tRNA from 1 species